GUGCACGCUGGCGGUAGGCCUAACACAUGCAAGUCGAACGGCAGCACCGUAAGAGCUUGCUCUUACGGGUGGCGAGUGGCGGACGGGUGAGGAAUACAUCGGAAUCUACUUUUUCGUGGGGGAUAACGUAGGGAAACUUACGCUAAUACCGCAUACGACCUACGGGUGAAAGCAGGGGAUCUUCGGACCUUGCGCGAUUGAAUGAGCCGAUGUCGGAUUAGCUAGUUGGCGGGGUAAAGGCCCACCAAGGCGACGAUCCGUAGCUGGUCUGAGAGGAUGAUCAGCCACACUGGAACUGAGACACGGUCCAGACUCCUACGGGAGGCAGCAGUGGGGAAUAUUGGACAAUGGGCGCAAGCCUGAUCCAGCCAUACCGCGUGGGUGAAGAAGGCCUUCGGGUUGUAAAGCCCUUUUGUUGGGAAAGAAAAGCAGCAGGUUAAUACCCCGCCGUUCUGACGGUACCCAAAGAAUAAGCACCGGCUAACUUCGUG
rnacentral:rRNA from 1 species